rnacentral:rRNA from 1 species
AAUAGCCUACGGGGGGCAGCAGUGGGGAAUAUUGGGCAAUGGGCGCAAGCCUGACCCAGCAACGCCGCGUGAAGGAAGAAGGCUUUCGGGUUGUAAACUUCUUUUCUUGGGGACGAACAAAUGACGGUACCCGAGGAAUAAGCCACGGCUAACUACGUGCCAGCAGCCGCGGUAAUACGUAGGUGGCAAGCGUUAUCCGGAUUUACUGGGUGUAAAGGGCGUGUAGGCGGGCAUGCAAGCCAGAAGUGAAAUCUGGGGGCUUAACCCCCAAACUGCUUUUGGAACUGCGUGUCUUGAGUGAUGGG